UCCUCAGAACCAGGGAGUGCAAUACAAAGA
rnacentral:piRNA from 1 species